rnacentral:rRNA from 1 species
UACGUAGGGGGCAAGCGUUGUCCGGAAUUAUUGGGCGUAAAGAGCGCGUAGGCGGUCCGGUAAGUCGGCUGUGAAAGUCAAGGGCUCAACCCUUGAAAGCCGGCCGAUACUGUCGGACUAGAGUUCGGAAGAGGCGAGUGGAAUUCCCGGUGUAGCGGUGAAAUGCGCAGAUAUCGGGAGGAACACCUAUGGCGAAGGCAGCUCGCUGGGACGUUACUGACGCUGAGACGCGAAAGCGUGGGGAGCAAACAGG